rnacentral:rRNA from 1 species
GUGUCAGCCGCCGCGGUAAUACGUAGGUUGCGAGCGUUAUUCGGAUUUACUGGGCGUAAAGAGCACCGAGGUGGCUUCUUAAGUUGGAUGUAAAAUCUCCUGGCUUAACUGGGAGGCGCCAUUCAAAACUGAGGAGCUUGAGGUCAGCAGGGGAAGGUGGAAUUCCCGGUGUAGUGGUGGAAUGCGUAGAGAUCGGGAGGAACACCAGUGGCGAAAGCGACCUUCUGGGCUGCACCUGACACUCUAGUGCGAAAGCGUGGGGAGCAAACAGGAUUAGAUACCCGGGUAGUCC